ACAAUAAAACGCCACCCGGACACAGUCGCUCCCUGCCUCCCUCCCUCGGUUCUCUGUCUGCUCCUCCUCCUGCUGCGCCCAGAGCGCGGAGACACUGGCUCUUCCACGGGAGCUUCCUCCAGCGCUGGGGAAGGGAAACAAAGCGAGCGCAGGAGGAAAGAGGUGCGAGAGGAUACAAAAUAAACUCUCGAGUCAGAGGAAGCAAACAGCUCCGUCUUUCUUUCUCCGACAGGAAAACCCAGCGGAAACACACGCGCACCAAAGCACUUCUGGAAAUAAAAUCAAGGAGAACCCUCAACACCCCUGGGAUUAUGGUAGGAAGGGACUUUUCAUUCUGUCUCCAGCCAGAAAUCACCUAACUAAAGUUGUUAUUUGCAUUUCUUUUGAAGUUUCCAUUGGCAGAGUGGCAGGACCUAUACCUUGCCUCAAUCCCAGAGGACUCUGGACAACAUAAAACAAAUAUAAACAAAAACAUCCCCAUCACAAGAAACAGGCGAUCAAAAAGCAAAAGCAAUUUCCAGACAGGCACCUCUCAACCAGUCAAUUGGGACUCAA